ensembl:tRNA
UCCGUUGUUGUCUAGUGGUUAGGAUUUAUGGCUCUCACCCAUAAGGCCGGGGUUCGAUUCCCCGCAACAAAU